GAUGAACGCUGGCGGCGUGCCUAAUACAUGCAAGUCGAGCGAACGGACGAGAAGCUUGCUUUUCUGAUGUUAGCGGCGGACGGUGAGUAACACGUGGAUAACCUACCUAUAAGACUGGGAUAACUUCGGGAAACCGGAGCUAAUACCGGAUAAUAUUUUGAACCGCAUGGUUCAAAAGUGAAAGACGGUCUUGCUGUCACUUAUAGAUGGAUCCGCGCUGCAUUAGCUAGUUGGUAAGGUAACGGCUUACCAAGGCAACGAUGCAUAGCCGACCUGAGAGGGUGAUCGGCCACACUGGAACUGAGACACGGUCCAGACUCCUACGGGAGGCAGCAGUAGGGAAUCUUCCGCAAUGGGCGAAAGCCUGACGGAGCAACGCCGCGUGAGUGAUGAAGGUCUUCGGAUCGUAAAACUCUGUUAUUAGGGAAGAACAUAUGUGUAAGUAACUGUGCACAUCUUGACGGUACCUAAUCAGAAAGCCACGGCUAACUACGU
rnacentral:rRNA from 1 species